rnacentral:rRNA from 1 species
GGAUUAGAUACCCUGGUAGUCCACGCCGUAAACGAUGAUCACUAGACGUCAGUCUGGCUUUGCUGGAUUGGUGUCGAAGCUAACGCGUUAAGUGAUUCGCCUGUGGAGUACGGUCGCAAGAUUAAAACUCAAAGGAAUUGACGGGGGUCCGCACAAGCGGUGGAACAUGUGGUUUGAUUCGUCACUACGCGAGAAACCUUACCUGGGCUUGACAUGUAUUUGACAGCUGUAGAAAUACAGUCUUUCGAGCUUCGGUUCGGACAGAUACACAGGUGCUGCAUGGCUGUCGUCAGCUCGUGCUG